AUUUGAGUAACUGUUACCCAAAUAAAUAUAAAUAAGUGGGAAACUCAAAAUUGAGUUCACCGUGAAAAUUUCUUUAAAAUGGCGAAGUCCGGUUGCUGAAGAUAGUCAGAAAUCAUAUUCAAUUAUAAAACAUAUGUUGAACGAUAAAUAGAACAGAGAUUGAAAUGAAGACAAAACAAUCUGGAGAGUGUUUCUUUUCGCUACUUGUUGUAUCGGAGUUCUAUCUCGGCCUGAAAUUCAGGCUCUGAAGGCUAUGGGAAAGUGCGAGCUUCUGAGGAAUGGUACACUUUUCGAAGCGACAAAAAUCAUGCCAGGCUACGAUAUUACGUGCUUCCUUGUACUUCUUACCAAUAACAAAAUUGAAUUAAUUUCUUUAUAUUAUU